CGCCUCAAAUGCCACCUCCCCCGGUGUCUCCACCUCCACCAUUGCCUCAUCAUCAUCAUAUAUCCCCACCACCGCCUCAUAAGAAGAAUUCCCACCAUACCAAUCAGCCUAUAAAGAGUGAUAGGUCUCGAAAUGGUGGAGGUCACAAGAGAAAAAAUCGUGAUUUGGGAAAGAAAGUUGGGUUAUGGUUUAUUGGUGUAGCAGCUGGAUUGCAAGUUUGUGUGCUCGGGUUCUUGGUACACCAGAGAUGGCAAUUUUUCGGAGAGCAAGACUUCUUAUAGUGUGUCUGGAUUUGGUGUAGCCUAUAGCGUUUGGCGGUUUCCAAUUUGUAUAUGGAUAAGGAUGAUUUAUGACUGCUGGUGUCUACAUUUUGAUGCUGCUAAUUGAAAUUGGUAAACCUCGAUGAACAUUCUUUUAUAACGUGUUAGUCAAUUCAUUUAACUCAUUAGUUUUUCCGAUGUCUCGUUUACUUAUAGUCAUUUAUAAAGACAUGUCAUAUCUACACCUUCUGUAGUGUGUUGGUGUUGAACCUGAUAGCUAAAUUCUAUGUAAUUAUUAAUUAAGAUAGAACUCUUGGAAUUUUUUGUUGUUUCUCCAAAACCGAAGCUUUAGUCCUCCGCAUGGGAGUUACGUACCAGGUAAUCUUUGAUGGAUGAGUAUUGUAGUUUUGUGGGCAAUAAAACAUUUUUCAACAUGACUCCAAGGGCCAAGCAUUAGACUCAUGCAUCUCUAUGACCUCUUUGCAUUUAGAGAGAAUUUUAUGAACCUAGUUGCUUAAGAUCAAAUGCUCAUAUACAAGCACGAAACAAUUGGCUCUAGCUUGAAUCGGUUCAAAUUGCUAUUAGCUUCUGUUAAUAGAAGAGCAAAUAUGUCUCUUUAUGAGACCAUAUUGUGGUUGUAUUCAAUUGUAUGGUUUAUUGACUAGUAAAUUCUAAAUAAAAUUCUGGUUUCUGAACAACACCUAAGAAUUGAGAUAAUUAUGCAAUAAUAAGAUUAAUUAGUACUAUGUAGUAUAUCAAAUCAAGUAAAAUCCCUUAUUUGAAGAAAAGCUUGGGUGAAUUUUAAAGUAACUGAUAAGUCUGGUAUAAUAAGUUUAUGUGUAUGUUGACCUGAGAAAGGUAUACCCUUUUUUUUAAGGAAUAACAACAAUGGAAUUCUUGCUAAAACCUGAGCACUUACAUCUGCUCUGAUCAUUAGCUUCUUAAUAGUUAACAAGUCUUUGUAUGAUUCUUAUUUGACCUUGUGAGUUCGCGCCUAAUAUCUAUGUUAUAUUAUUAUGAUUAGGCAAGAUAAAGGAUUAGAAUGAAACUUGAGAAAAAGACAAGAGGUAAGACGUAAGAGUGAAUUAGAACUUAAUGGAAUUUAAGCUAAAACCAGUAGUUAAAAGCCACAACGGAAGAUAAAGAGACUAAGAGAGACAUUGAAUAUAUAAACUUAGUCAAUACCAAUGAACUGUUGGUUUUGGCUGAAAUAGUUCUAGCGUGGACAUGGGCUUUGAAGUCGAGAUCUGUAUAUCAGAGAGUGAUGCAUGAUCUGAUUGUUUUUCUUCAUUGUUAAGCCACUGAGCUUUGCCUUUUAGAGGCCACUCACUAAAGAAUUGGUGAAAGCCCUCUUGAUUCUCUUCACCUCUAUCCACUUUGAUUGACCUGGCUGGCUUAAAAUCAUUGCCAAGAAUAAAGCAAUGCUUCUUUGAGUCUCUGUCUUCUUCUUGUCUUCUAUGUUCUUUAAUUUUUCCAUGAUCAUUGAUGGCCCGGAAGUAGUCAGAGGAAGCCACUUCUGAUGCUGUAUAUGAUUCAUGUUGGCUUCUCACAGUCCUGGAAACCCCUGGGAAGAAAGCGCUUUCAUCAUCCCUCAUACCUUGCAUAAACCUGCAAGUAUCAAAUUAAAAUGGAAGAGCAGUCAAGACAUUUUCUUAACUUUUUCUGUAUAUUUCAUAGAUGCUUAUCUUUUAGGACAUAAAGAAAACCUAUAAUCUUUAUAUGUCUGAUAGGGGGAUUUGGAUUCCAUAAACAUUUGCUGAGUUCUGCUGUUCUGAUGCAUAGGAGAGGACUGGG
rnacentral:lncRNA from 1 species